rnacentral:tRNA from 1 species
GGAGGUAUAGCUCAGUGGUAGAGCAUAUGCUUAGCAUGCAUGAGGCCCUGGGUUCAAUCCCCAGCACCUCCA